UAACAGAAUAGUUCUCUGCUGCGGAGAGAGAAUGCUCACUAACUCCAGAAAACAUUAAUAGUGGAGGGCCACACUAAAUAUCUGAAUGAAGCCUACACGCACUGGGCCUGGGAUGUGCUUUGUUAUCUGACAUGAAUCAACCAGAUGCAGUGAUUUGGCCUCAAGAGGGCUCCCAGCUUCCUUCCAGCGUCCUUGGAUGAGACAGAGACAGCAACUUGGCGGAGAGAUAGGAUGAUCACAGCUGUACGGCUGCUCAAGAAGCAUUGCUUUCCAGCAUGAAAGGCGUAGUGUUGAACUGCUAAACUCUUCUCUAUUCCUACGCACCUGUGUCUAUGGGAGACGCAGGUACCUUUGCAGAUCUUGGCCCGCAUCAUUGGAGCAAAUGGGAUGAAGAGGGAGUGCAGGGAAGAGGGGAAGAAGGGGCAGUUGAGAAAGAAGAGCUUUGGAUGGUUCUAAUGCCAUCUAACAACACUGGGGCCUUGCUGAGAAUGUAUUGUAUCUCCCAGAAGACGCUGUUUAACUUACCUUUGGAAAGCACAGUGAAAGGAGUUUCAAGCAUCUCCCAGGACCGUCAAUGCUGUUGCAAUAAUAUAUUAAAUAAACAACGUCACUAUUGUUUGCAAAGGAAACAGAGUUCCAGCAGCAUUGUCUGGGGCACAGACAUACUUUCUUCACAGACUCCUCCAGCAGCGGCUGUUCUGCUCCAGCAGGGUGUCUGCAAUUGGCAGGUUGAUCUGCACAUCUGGGAUGACUAGUGACAGAAUAAGGUGGGUGAUGAGCUUAGUUUAACUGUAAAAUGGUUAUCUGGAUGGAGCAGAAGAAUUCUA
rnacentral:lncRNA from 1 species